AACGAACGCUGGCGGCAGGCUUAACACAUGCAAGUCGAGCGCCUCGCAAGAGGAGCGGCAGACGGGUGAGUAACACGUGGGAACGUACCCUUCGGUUCGGGAUAACUCAGGGAAACUUGAGCUAAUACCGGAUACGUCCGAGAGGAGAAAGAUUUAUUGCCGAGGGAUCGGCCCGCGUCUGAUUAGCUUGUUGGUGAGGUAACGGCUCACCAAGGCGACGAUCAGUAGCUGGCUGAGAGGAUGAUCAGCCACAUUGGGACUGAGACACGGCCCAAACUCCUACGGGAGGCAGCAGUGGGGAAUAUUGGACAAUGGGCGCAAGCCUGAUCCAGCCAUGCCGCGUGAGUGAUGAAGGCCCUAGGGUUGUAAAGCUC
rnacentral:rRNA from 1 species